rnacentral:rRNA from 1 species
GAUGAACGCUGGCGGCGUGCCUAAUACAUGCAAGUCGAGCGAACAGACGAGGGGCUUGCUCCUCUGACGUUAGCGGCGGACGGGUGAGUAACACGUGGAUAACCUACCUAUAAGACUGGGAUAACUUCGGGAAACCGGAGCUAAUACCGGAUAAUAUAUUGAACCGUAUGGUUCAAUAGUGAAAGACGGUUUUGCUGUCACUUAUAGAUGGAUCCGCGCCGCAUUAGCUAGUUGGUAAGGUAACGGCUUACCAAGGCAACGAUGCGUAGCCGACCUGAGAGGGUGAUCGGCCACACUGGAACUGAGACACGGUCCAGACUCCUACGGGAGGCAGCAGUAGGGAAUCUUCCGCAAUGGGCGAAAGCCUGACGGAGCAACGCCGCGUGAGUGAUGAAGGUCUUCGGAUCGUAAAACUCUGUUAUUAGGGAAGAACAAAUGUGUAAGUAACUAUGCACGUCUUGACGGUACCUAAUCAGAAAGCCACGGCUAACUACGUG